rnacentral:rRNA from 1 species
AUUGAACGCUGGCGGCAGGCCUAACACAUGCAAGUCGAACGAGUGGCGGACGGGUGAGUAAUGUCUGGGAAACUGCCUGAUGGAGGGGGAUAACUACUGGAAACGGUAGCUAAUACCGCAUACCAUCAGUGGUGCCCAGAUGGGAUUAACUUGUUGGUGGGGUAACGGCUCACCAAGGCGACGAUCCCUAGCUGGUCUGAGAGGCUGACCAGCCACACUGGAACUGAGACGCGGUCAUGAGUCCGACGGGAGGCAGCAGUGGGGAAUAUUGCACAAUGGGCGCAAGCCUAAUGCGGCCCUGCCGCGGGUAUGAGAAAGGCCUUCGGGUUGUAAAGUACUUUCAGCGGGGAGGCGUUACCCGCAGAAGAAGCACCGGCUAACUCCGUGCCAGCAGCCGCGGUAAUUC